ACCGGCGCACGGUGAGUAACGCGUAUCCAACCUUCCCAUGACCAGGGAAUAACCCUUGCGAAAGUAGACUAAUGCCCUAUGGUUUCCUCAGCGGACAUCCAAAGAGGAAUAAAGAUUCAUCGGUGAUGGAUGGGGAUGCGUCUGAUUAGCUUGUUGCGGGGUAACGGCCCACCAAGGCUACGAUCAGUAGGGGUUCUGAGAGGAAGGUCCCCCACAUUGGAACUGAGACACGGUCCAAACUCCUACGGGAGGCAGCAGUGAGGAAUAUUGGUCAAUGGGCGAGAGCCUGAACCAGCCAAGUAGCGUGCAGGAUGACGGCCCUAUGGGUUGUAAACUGCUUUUAUAAGGGAAUAAAGUGAGUCUCGUGAGACUUUUUGCAUGUACCUUAUGAAUAAGGACCGGCUAAUUCCGUG
rnacentral:rRNA from 1 species